GGAUGUGAAGGCAAUCUGGCUGUGAUAUCUGUCACCCCAUUGAUGGCCAGGAUGGACUCAGCUGGUCUGGAUGGCUGGAUGGAGUGUCUCCUUCCUCCCUCGCCACAACAUGUGCAUCCUUCCUGAAAUUGAAGAGAACGGCCUUCCCAGAAUAGAGGAAGAACCCCACACAAGCUCUCUGUGUAUGUGUGUAUAUGUAUGUGUGUGCAUGUGUGUGUGUAUGUAUGUGUGUGUGUAUGUAUGUAUAUGUGUGUGCAUGCGUGUAUGUAUAUGUAUAU
ensembl:misc_RNA 7SK 7SK RNA